rnacentral:rRNA from 1 species
UACGGGGGGGGCAAGCGUUGUUCGGAAUCACUGGGCGUAAAGGGUGCGUAGGCGGCAUUGCAAGUCGGAUGUGAAAUCCCUCGGCUCAACCAAGGAAGUGCAUCCGAAACUGCUGUGCUUGAGUACUUAAGAGGAUCGCGGAAUUCCCGGUGUAGAGGUGAAAUUCGUAGAUAUCGGGAGGAACACCAGUGGCGAAGGCGGCGAUCUGGGAAGAUACUGACGCUGAGGUGCGAAAGCGUGGGGAGCAAACAGG